rnacentral:lncRNA from 1 species
AUGAUUUCUGUUCAUUUCUUCUUUAUUGUUCGGCGAGAAAUGAAGUCCCAGAAAUGGAACAGGAGCCCUCGGACAGCUUCAGCUCCCUCCUGGAGGUGCCUGGGGAGUCCAACCAGGAACAAGCAGGCAAGGCUGGCAUUGAAAGCCCCCAGCUGGCUGGCAUGCAGCAGAAUCACAACUCACAGCCUGAGGAACAGUGGCCACAGCUUCCUGUGUUCCGCAAGCCUCUCUGCCUCAGUAACAGCAUGGUUUUGGACAAGCGCCUGUGUCAUGAGGUUCUCGGGUUCCUGAGUUCCGAGUACUGUGCUUUGAACUGGGGAUCAGAGUGCCAUAAUCUUGGAGUCCUGCAGACUGGAUCUCCUAAGGCUAAUCACCUGCAUGAACUGCUCUGUGGAAUUUAUUUGCCCUCCCACCCAUCUGGCCUUUCCAAGAGCUGAUAGCACCGUGGGACAGGUCAGACCAGGAAACCAAGGCACAAGGAUUCUUAGGAAGCGGCGAGACCCAGGUCUGCCUAACCUUAAGACGUCAGAUGUUGUGUCUUUCCUCAAGGACCUCCGCAGCCAAAACUAAUCAGUACAGAGCUUCCAGAGAAGCAGACCCCUCUACCCCUGCCCCAGGUGCUUGAAGUGGCGUCCAGGGUACGGCUUUCUUAUUUGUAAGCAGAAAUGAAACCCCUGGGAGGAGACAUUCCAGAGCCAUUUCACUUUUACUUGAACAUGAGCAGUGCCUGCUCAUGUGCAGAUGCGAUCACUGCGCUUGUGACAGUAAAAAUACCAACGGUGUCAUUAGCGGCAACCCUCCUGGGCAUGCCCAUGCUCUAACGACCUGAGCGUCUUCCCUGCUCUUUACAAGAAGCCGCCUUUCUGAGGCGCUCAGUCUUACGGGUUCUUUCCUUCAGAGAUGAGCCUGGAUUCUUGUUUUGGACCCACAUUUCUUGGUGCAGAAGCAGCAGCCAAGAACGAGGCCUGGGAUUCAGCCAAACCUGGCUUUGAAUUCUUGCUGUAUCCGUGAGCACAACACUCAGCCUCUCGAGCCUCUGGCAGGACGGGGGACACCUCCUACUGAGAGCUUGCUCUGGGCAUUUUGUGGAUAAAAGCCAACAAGUGACUGCAUCUUUAAAUGCCAUUUAUCAUCAUCAGUCCUUUCCGGAAUGACCUGGGGCCUCCUUUCCUUCACUGGCCUCCAAAAGUCAUUUCACUGGGCUGUGGAAAUCAAACAGUGGUUCCUCCCCACCAAGAAGAGUUGAAUGUUGCCCUGAAAUUACCAAUAAUUUUUCUCCGGCUGUUCCGUCAUUGAGCGGAGCAGAAGUUGGCCAAGUUUCUCUGUCAACGCCCAGAUAGUAUGGGUUUUAGGAAGGUGGUCCACACUGUUUCUGUCACCAUUACUCGACUUUGUGGAUGUCAUGUGAAGGCCGCCGUAGAUGGUAAGUGUUGUACAAGCAUCCCUGUGUCCAGAGAGAAUGUAUUUACCAAAGCAGGCUGGGAUUGGCGCACGGGCCAUGGUCUGCAGAUUCCUGCUCUGUCGAAUGGGGAGGUUCUGGGUCUCAGGCUGGAAUUGGCAGCAUGAAUGCUCCACGGUCUCUGCCCUGGAGGGUCGCCCCAGUGACACACCUACCCUUGCACAGUCAGGGGGCGGGGGAGUGGGGAGUGUGCUGUUUGCAAGGAGACAGCUUCCAAGGUGAUAGACGUGGCAGGAACCUUCUGUUGUCCCUGUAGUCUGAUGUCUCCAGCAGGUUCACCCAGAUGUACCCUCAUCCGCUGCUGGGUGAUACGGAACUGCUCAGAUCUGUCACUCUAACAGCCACAAUACCUGUUACUGUUCUUGAGUGCUGCUUAGUGGCCCCAGCUGGGCUCCAAGUGACCCUUGCAGUUGUGUCUGCAUCUACAUGUACUUGGGGAAGUCCUGCAUGCGCUCUCCACUUACCCACAAUUCUAGCAAGGGCGGAUUUGGAUGCUCGUGUUUGCACAAACCUUACACUUUUCUUUGGCAUCUCCUGGUUGCUCUGUGCCUCAUUUUCUCUGGCCACUCAGUGGGAGAUAAGGGUGAAAUGAGAAUGAAUGAGGUGGUUUGUUAGUGGUUUCUUUUUUUAUUAUUUAAAAAUUUUUUUUAAUUUACAUCCAAAUUAGCAUAUAGUGUAACAAUGAUUUCAGAACUAGAUUCCUUAGUGCCCCUUAUCCAUUUAGCCCACUGCCCCUCCCAGAACCCUCAGUUCUCCAUAUUUAUGACUCUCUUCUGUUUUGUCCCCUUCCCUGUUUUUAUUUUUGUUUCCCUUCCCUUAUGUUCAUCUGUUUUGUCUCUUUAAGUCCUCAUAUGAGUGAAAUCAUAUGAUUUUUGUCUUUCUCUAAUUUCACUUAGCAUAGUACCCUCCAGUUCCAUCCACAUAGUUGCAAAUGGGAAGAUUUCAUUCUUUUUGAUUGCUGAGUAAUACUCCAUUGUAUAUAUGUACUACAUCUUCUUUAUCCGUUCAUGGUUCAGUGGACAUUUGGGCUCUUUCCAUACUUUGGCUACUGUUGAUAGUGCUGCUAUAAACAUGGGGGUGCAUGGGUCCCUUCAAAACAGCACACCUGUAUCCCGUGAAUAAAUGGCUAGUAGUGCAAUAGCUGGGUCGUAGG